AUUGAACGCUGGCGGCAUGCCUUACACAUGCAAGUCGAACGGUAACAGGUCUUCGGAUGCUGACGAGUGGCGAACGGGUGAGUAAUACAUCGGAACGUGCCUAGUAGUGGGGGAUAACUACUCGAAAGUGUGGCUAAUACCGCAUGAGAUCUACGGAUGAAAGCAGGGGAUCGCAAGACCUUGUGCUACUAGAGCGGCCGAUGGCAGAUUAGGUAGUUGGUGGGAUAAAAGCUUACCAAGCCGACGAUCUGUAGCUGGUCUGAGAGGACGAUCAGCCACACUGGGACGGAGACACGGCCCAGACUCCUACGGGGGGCAGCAGUGGGGAAUUUUGGACAAUGGGCGAAAGCCUGAUCCAGCAAUGCCGCGUGCAGGAUGAAGGCCUUAGGGUUGUAAACUGCUUUUGUACGGAGCGAAAAGCCCCGGGUUAAUACCCUGGGGUCAUGACGGUACCGUAAGAAUAAGCACCGGCUAACUACGUGCCAGCCGCCGCCGUAA
rnacentral:rRNA from 1 species